AAGGCUUCAAGGAUAUUUUGACUGCUGACAAUGACUUUUUGAAAUGUGUAAUUACUGCAGAUGAAAAGGUUAUGGGUUUAACCCAGAACAUUUCUGAAAAUGGAAAAGCCUAUGAACCAAGUAAGUCUUCACAAUGGAAAAGCCCAUCAUGUCCAUGUCCCAAGAAACUUGACAGGUCAGAAGCAAUGUGAAGUCAAUAUUGAUUUUCAUUGUUGACCACAAAGGACUUCUGCAGAAAUUUGUUCCACAAGAUAAUGCAUACUACUACAUUGAAGUAAUGAAGCAUCUAAUGGAUUUUGAGACUCAAAUGCUCAGAGUUGUGAACUACUGGGAACUGAAUGAUCCACCAUGACAAUGCCACAGUCCACAUGUCCAUUGAAAUGCACAGUUUUUAGUCUGAAAUAUCUUAUUCUCUUGAUUUGGCCAUUUAUGAUUUUUUCAUCUUCCUGCAAUGAAGACAAAGCUCAAAGAAUGGAGAUUUUUACAGUUGAGGAGAUCAGGAAAAGAUUAGGAUUGUGCUGUAUAGCAUAAGAAAGGGGACUUUCAGAAAGCAUUCCAAAAAUGGCAGAAUCACUGGGACUAUUGUAUAAACUCCAAGGGAACUGUUUUGAGGAGAUGUUGGCCACUAAAAUUUCAUGUUUAUCAUUUUUUAUAGAGCAAGUUUGGAAAUGUUUUGAUACUAUCUCACAUCUGUCAUGUUGUUAUUUAUCUGUUUGUUUGAUUCAAAUGAUUCAAGUACAGAAUGGACACAACCAAGAAGUAUUUUCUUAUGAUAAAAAUGGCAGAAGUGAAACUUUAAAUAAUACUUAAAGCAUGCU
rnacentral:lncRNA from 1 species